rnacentral:tRNA from 1 species
GGUUGUCGCUCAGCGGUAGAGCGCUCGCCUCACAUGUGUGAAACCCGGGUUCGAUCCUCAGCACCA